UUAGCAAUAAGGAUGCAUAUGAACCACCACUCAGGGACCUGUUUAUAUCUCCUCAUAAGUUUCGUGUGUAUGUCCAUCCUUUUUUCUUGAAAAGCUGAUUUACUUAAUAGCCAAAUUUCACUGGAGACAAGUAUCAUGGUUCUUAACCACAUUAUUUUAAUAUUGUAGACAGUGGAGUGGCGAAUCUAAGAAAAAAAAAUACCUUCCAUGGAAGAGGAGAGCAUGAACAAUUGUUGCAGCAAGGGUUGCAAAACCAACACCGUAUGUGACAAGAAGGGAAGUACUGAGGUAUAGUGGCCCAUUCUUCUCAUAGGCCUUGGUGUCAAAAUGGAAAUGGGAGUCAACAAUGCUUGAUACAUUGUAUUUUUGCCCAGUCGAGGUGAAGAGGCCAUCAGAAAAUAUGGGGAAAUUUUGUGCCUUGUAGAAAUUAAACCAGUAUGCAAUUGGUGUGAUUAUGUACAUGACGAUGAAGAAGCCAACACCAACAUUUACAGUGGCAAACCAUGGGCUAGCAAGAGGGCUCCCAAGGUAGGAGGAGAUAGAUGACCAGUCGAGACCGAUUGCACCAACGCCGAGGCCUCGGAGACCUGAACCAAGCUGUUGGGCAAGGACAGAGCUGGGGAAGACCCAGCAGAUCCAGGAGAGGGAG
rnacentral:lncRNA from 1 species